rnacentral:rRNA from 1 species
GACGAACGCUGGCGGCGUGCUUAACACAUGCAAGUCACGGGGGCCCGCAAGGGUAACCGGCGAACGGGUGCGUAACACGUGAGCAAGCUUCCGAUUUGUGGGGGAUAGCCGGCCUAACGGCCGGGUAAUACCGCAUACGUUCACUGGACGGCAUCGUCUGGUGAGGAAACCUCCGGGGCAAAUCGAGGCGCUCGCGGCCUAUCAGCUAGUUGGCGGGGUAACGGCCCACCAAGGCGACGACGGGUAGCUGGGCUGAGAGGAUGGCCAGCCACAUUGGGACUGCGACACGGCCCAGACUCCUACGGGAGGCAGCAGUGGGGAAUAUUGCGCAAUGGACGAAAGUCUGACGCAGCGACGCCGCGUGUGGGAUGAAGCUCUUCGGGGUGUAAACCACUGUUGCCCGGGACGAAAUGCCCUUUCGAGGGAAUUGACGGUACCGGGUGAGGAAGCACCGGCUAACUCUGUGCCAGCAGCCGCCGUAAGAC